GAAAUUGGAGAUCGAAUGGGGAAUGAGAAGAGGUUAGUGACCUAAGAGAGACUGACAGAAGAGAGUGGUGUGCACACAUGAGUGAACCCUUUGUCUCUCUAUAUAUCUUUCUCCCUCUCUCUCUCGGCUUGCUUAAGUGGUUCCAGAUCUGACUCACUCUUUGCUAUACAUUUUUUCCAUAUUAGGAAAGCUGAAAACCCAUCUGGGAGGAAUGGAGAGUAUGGGGGAAUGGGUAGUGAAGACUGAAGGGGUUGGUGACAAAGGAGAGACUGACAGAAGAGAGUGAGCACACACGGGGAAUUGCAUAGAUUGUAUGCCUUUGUUUGUGGGUGCUCACCUCUCUUACUGUCAGCUUCCCAUCACUCCCGGAAUCUCUUUGCCUUUCUCCGGUUAGGUCCAUUCUCUCUCCUCCGUCCUUUUAUGCACUUCCCCAUAAAACUCUCUCUCUCUCUUUCUCUCUCUCUCUCUCUCUCUCUCUCUAGGAAAACGAGCAAAUGAAGGGCAAACAUAAAGCAUAAAAGAUAAGGGGAAAAAGAUAUGAAACGACGCAUCGAGCAGCCUACUACCCCUUCACUCUCUCUCUCUCUUUCUCUGCAAACCUUAUCCUUUUUUCUGUCGCUCUGGCAUGCAUCCAUUUCGUUCUCUCUCCUUUUCUGAGAACAGUUCAUCGAUCUGAACUGUGAAGCAAACAAGAUUUAAAGGAGAAAUAAAAAAAAAAAAAAAAAGAAAGCUACACAAUACUGAUAUAAAUCAUACCAUAUCAGUAUACUGUAAUGGGCAAGUGCUGUUUGAUUUAUUUUUUUCUCUUCUAUAGUUCUAUUGCCUAAUUUAUUUUGGGGACUGACAUGCAGAGAUAUUAAGUUGGAGAUAAGUAAAUUUUUAUUUAUUUAUUAUUAUUUUCUGCCAUUAUUUUAUGGAGGGAGAGGAGAAGUAAAGCUUUGCAACCUUGAAUGCGUGACUUUUGAUGAUAUGGCCCUUCUAUCUCUUUACGGAAUGAGUGGGCGUGCCAAGAUUGCUCAUCUUCUCGAGGCGAAUCUAGGAAAAUUCAACAAGUUUGUGUUCAAGGUGCAAGUGGGUUUUCCUCCAUAUAUUCUGUGUUGUCUUCUUCUCAGAAGUAGAAGCUCCAUUUUCUUUCUUUCUUUCUUUCUUUACAGUCAUGGCGGAUCAUCCUAAGGUGCAAAAUUUGUUUUAGUUGCAGUUGGGUUUAUGGUUAAUGAAGUUAUUACUACUAUUCCCUAAUGAAGAGAGUCUCACAGGUAUAUGCCCACUCAGUAACGUGACAUUUCAUGAUUUCACAACCAUGCCUUUAGUCGGUCAAGGAUGCUACUUCAUUUUUGUUAUCCUCCGAUGGAAACUUAGGAGACCAGGAAACACAGCAAGAAUGUUCCUCAUAUGAAUAUGAUAAGAGAAUGAGUGGUGGUGGCGGUGGUGGUGGGGUAACUUUGUUGGAGACUCCUGAGUGGUUCAAUUCACCAUUCCAACAUGGGUUUCCUUUCCACUACGUCUCAUAUAUUCAACCAAGGUAUCGAUUCUCAUUCCUUAAACCAGUUUCCUUUUCCCAUUUUUGGUUUAUGUAGCUUACCAAUCAUAUACUGUAUAUUUAGUUCUUGUAAAGUGAGGUUCUAAGAUCAUUAGGUCACAACAAGUUUAUAGCAAUAGGUUUGAAACUUGGAGAGUUUGUUUAGUUUUAACUCCACUAGGAUGAUAUUAGCAUCUAAAUUACCACUCACAAUUGGAAGCAACCAGGGAUGUAGGCAUAUUUAUUGUAUGUAAUUAGGAUCCCCAUUACAUCUACUACAUAUACCAGAUCCCCAUUGUCUGUAGGUGACAAAUGAUUUUUAGGAUGCUGCAGAUGGGAACCCUACUUGCUGGAAAUUGUAAUGGCACAGACAGGAAGUUAAAUAAGAUGAUCAUAAUAGUUUUAUUGGAUUCACAAUCUAGUGCUAAAAAAUUAACCUAUAGGGUUUAUGAGUGUGUGGUAGUAAUAGAAUUCGAUCAACCAACAUGCAGAUCGAAGUAGGCAAAUUAGUAAAGCUACUCUUUUCCUUCUGGCUCUUAUGUUCUUUUAAUAGACCCAUAGCUUGGGCCACUGAGAGAACAAUUCUAAAGUUCACAUAAUUAUAGAUUAUCACAAAAUCCUUCCUUUUGGGGGGUGGGGGGUGCUGUACUCAACUAUCACAAGAAUUUAACCCUUCCAAACAAAAAAAAAAAAAAUCCUAAAUCCUAACAUUAUUUUAUUUUAUUUUAUUUUUGGUAACAAAAUCCUAACAUUUAAAAAGGGAGGGGGGAAGAAAAGAAAAGAACAGGCUACAUAAAUUGAUACCAAUGACUGAAAUAACCUAAUUUAUUGUAAUAGUUCUUCUGAUAACUAAGCUUGAUGAUAUCAACAUCCAUUUCUGAUUGACGUAAAUAAUCUAAUCUAUAAUGUAAAACAUCUAACAAACAGUAUUACUUGAUGAUGUUAACAUCCAUGUUCUCCUAUGAUGUCUUCAAUGUGGAAUUUGAUAUUUUGCAUCACAAGUGAACGGAUGUAAAGCCUAAAAGAUAUACCUUGAGCCUCCUAAUUUACUAUAAUGCCCUUGCUACCACUGGUUGUGAACAGAAUUGAAGGUUACAAAGAUCAUCCCAUUGAAAGUUGAAGGCCAGAAGAGGAGGUUUUAUCUUUAAAAUGGAAAUGGUUUUGUUGAUUGAGAAUUUUGAGGUUUAACCAGAAGCUUCAAGCACAUCCUGAGUAGUGGGUUUGGCCUUUUUAUAGAGAUAAAGAAUACCUAUUUAGGAAGUUAUUGGAUAUAAUUGAUGGCUAAAUGAUUCAAGAACAGCUAACAUCAUGUGUACCUUUUGGAGGCCAUAUUGAAAGUUCAAAGUUUUUGGGAAAACUAGCAUUCUUGGGUAGAAGGGCAGAACAAAUAAUAAAUAGCGAAGCCUGAUUGGUGGGGAAGGAGAAAACCAUUUGAUCUAAGCAGGCAGUUGUAUCCUUUUACCACAACAAAGGGGCUACUGUAAGUCAAUACCUAACGCUGAAACAAGAGAGGGUAGUUUGGGUGGGUUUUCUUCUUUAGGAGGAAUAUUGAUGAAAGGGUAAUCGAAGAUUCUACUACAUUAUUUCAGUUGCUUGAAGGGGCCAGCAUUACAAUAGGACUUACAAGGAAUAAACCAAAGAAAUCUUAUUAAUUAAAUUAUUUUUAUUCUUCUUUGAUGUCUCAAGGAGAAUUACUUAUGACAAAAAGAAAUUGGGGAUAACAAAUCCACCUUUAUGUUGAAGCGGUUCCAUGGGUAAUACGAGACUGUUUAUAACUUCUUUAUACAUUAUAGCAAAGUUCAGGAUGUCUACUGCUCUUUUUUUGGAACAUUUGGAUAUAGGUGGUAACUCAAGUGAGGAGAGUGUUAUUUAAAGGCCCAUAUAUGUUCUAUAAUGAAUUGGGACCUUCUGCAAUGCAUUGGGACUGUGUGGAAACUGGAAAUAGAAGUACUUAAUAAUGAGAAUCAUAAAAACCCCAAUGGUAUCCUUUGGAAAUCUCAUAGUAAUAUUAGGCAAUUGGUUUUAAAAGACUCUUUGGGAUUUGGUGUUCUGAGAUUGAAAAAGAUUGUAAUGGGUGGAUUUCAGAUUGAGUUUGCGUGUUUCAUUUAGUUUUGGGCAGGGGUGAGGUGGCAUGUUCACCCUUGUGUCUUCUGUUAUCUUUUGGAAGUUUUAAUAUAAUUUCUGAGGGCUGCCUGGGGUCCUGGAGUUCUAAAGUUAAAAUGAAAAAAAAAAAAAAAAAAAAUGCUUGGGAAUACUCUUUUUUCUUGAGAAGGGGAGUUACAAUCCUUGUAGUUUCUCUUUAAUGGCUCCGAGAAUCUAUCCAUAUUCAGCUCCUUGGCAGCAAUUUUAUUGUUUAUUUUGUGGACAUAAUGUAAUAUAUUGUAGUAAUAUUAUUUUAAAAUAAAACCAAAUUGGUCUGUUAAUAUUAUUUUUAUAUAUACUUUUGCUGAUCUGCAGCCAAAAAAAAGGUAUGUCAAGCCAAGUUUAAAUUAGUUUCAUCAUUUGAUGUUAGGUAGUGUAGACCAACCACAUAACAAUGCUCUUAUACCUUUCAAUUUAGAAAUAAAAAUCAAUAAAAAUUUUAGUCCACAAGGGAAAUCACAGAGGUCACAUAGCCUAAUGAAGUAACAUAGGUAUGGCAUGGCACUUUUUUUUGGUGGGGGGGGGGGGUUGCUUGGAUUCCUAAAAAAACCUGCUGGCACUUGGAUUGCUAAAAUCUGAGAUUUUAGUUUAAGUUGAGGCUAAAGUUUUCGAUCAGGUCUUUGGGUGUAGAAGACUCACAGCACAAGUAUUCGAGGGUGUGUUAUAGGAUAGAAUGGAAUGCAUACGGAGAAGGUUUUAUGAUGAAAAUACAAAAGCGAAUAAAUUGAUCAGAUAAUGUUUCCAUAAGCAUCUAUAUUGGGUAUUCUAAGAUGCAAUGAUGAUUCAAAUUAUGUUCUUGGUUAAUAUGGAUUUUUCAUCCCUAAUGUCUUUGAUGACUCUUAAAUUGUCACCUGCUAAAUAGAUUGUUUGGUUGAAACAACAAAUUCAAAAACUUUAAACCAAGUAGUAUAACCAUUGGGCCAUGGGAUACAUUGACUAGGCAUUGGGAAUGAUUUGACCUAGGACAACCAGCACUUUGGUUGUGCUUCACUGUUCAUGAUUAAUGUAAUAUAACCAAGGUGCAAUUUUGAGGUUAUAUCUCACAUCCAAUGUGUUGAACAUUGAGGAUGGCUAGAUUCCAAUGGUUGUUGGUUCUAAUUGGGUUAAGUUGGCUUCUAUUGGGCCAAGCAGGCUAUGACUUUAUGAGCUUAGGUUCAUGGUUCUUAUGGUUGUAGUGUAGCAUUUAUCCUAUCAUUUUUGGGAACUUCAUAAGCAUCUUUAUAAGCCAUCAAUGGGGGCUUAUGAGAAGGAGAUGAUUUUAUAGCUAGGGAGGGGAAUCUUAUUGUUGACUUCUUAGCAAAACUUAUGGCGAAGAAUGCAUCCUCCUCAUUGUCCAUUAUAUUCCCACUUUUGACGCAAAAUGAUUUGGAAGUGGAUGUGUUAGAUCACCUGAGAUAUUGCUUAUUAACCAAUUUGCUUUGUUCUAGUUCCUUAGUUGGCUUCCCUUUCCAAUUGAUGGCAUGCCGAAGGUGGGAAUGGGAGGUCAAGGCGUGUAAGUGUCCGAUAUGAUUCAAAGCCCCAAGUCCAAGAAAUGAAAGGGAGAUCAAUUGUGUAGUUGUGCUACAAAUUUUGGGAACUUAAGUACCACUGGCGAGAAGAACAAGAUUUGUUUCAAAAGUGAAUGGGUUUUGUAGAUACAUAUCUUAAGUAUCGGUGCGUAUCAUAGUGGAGGCUCUAUAGUGAAUAUGGUGAUAUCAUCUACAUAUAUGAGAUGAUUCAACUGCAUCUCUUUACAUUUUGGAAGAGGUGCGAGCAAAUUUUGAUCGACUUUCCAAUUAAGGAAAGAGGAAAGGCCUUCCAUCACCAAAGAGAACAACAAGAGGAGAGUGAGUAGCCUUUUCUGAUUCCUUUCAAAGGAACAUAGUACCCAAUAGGAGAUUCAUUCACCAAAUUGACAUGUGCACGAAAGAUAUACAAAAAUGGAUCCAAUGGAUAAAAAAGGAGGGAAAUUCAUCUUGAACAAAAUCUGCAAGAUAUAUUCCCAUCUCACUGUAUCAAAAACCUUUUAUAUAUCAAUCCUCAACAAGGCUGAGGGGCGUGGGCUCUACCAAAGCCUCUACCAAUCUCUUUAAAAAGAAAAAUAUUAUCUAAAAUUGAUUGAUAAGCACACCAGAUCUCCAAGAACCAUCUUCAAUCUGUUGGCCAACACCAAUGAACGUGUAAAGUAAAUUACUGAGGGAGAUGGGUCUAAAGUAACUAACCCAAGGUGAGAUUCUAGUUUCCACUAGAACUUGUGUCCAUAAAUGGUGGCCCAAUGUGGUUCUUUGGUAUGGACAGAGGGCUUCGCCAAGGUGAUCCCUGUUGUUUUAUGGUUAUCCCUGUUGGCAACUCGGCCAUGUGGCGGUGAUGACGUGGCCAGUUUGGGUGACGUGGAUGAAAAUGAUGACAUGGCAGUGUCCAGUGUCACCGAUGAGA